rnacentral:rRNA from 1 species
GACGAACGCUGGCGGCGUGCUUAACACAUGCAAGUCGAACGGUAAGGCCCUUCGGGGUACACGAGUGGCGAACGGGUGAGUAACACGUGGGUGAUCUGCCCUGCACUUCGGGAUAAGCCUGGGAAACUGGGUCUAAUACCGGAUAGGACUCCUGGCUUCAUGGUUGGGGGUGGAAAGCUUUUGCGGUGUGGGAUGGGCCCGCGGCCUAUCAGCUUGUUGGUGGGGUAAUGGCCUACCAAGGCGACGACGGGUAGCCGGCCUGGGAGGGUGACCGGUCACACUGGGGCUGGGAGACGGCCCAGACUGCUACGGGAGGCAGCAGUGGGGAAUAUUGCGCAAUGGGCGCAAGCCUGAUGCAGCGACGCCGCGUGAGGGAUGACGGCCUUCGGGUUGUAAACCUCUUUCAGCUAUGACGAAGCGCAAGUGACGGUAGUAGCAGAAGAAGGACCGGCCAACUACGUGCCAGCCGCCGCGGUAA